CACCUAGUAGGGACGUGUCCCUGCGCCAAACGACUUUUGUCGGGAUCGUGGCAUGUCUGCGAUCCAGGGGGUGAUGUUGAGAGCUGGAAGGCAAGGGGGUGCAAACACUAGUCGGCCUUUGUCCCGAUUGCUGAGUGUUAUGUGCUAGACGUCCAAGGCUUGAUGCUGACCCUCCAAGUGGGGCUUGUCCCUGCACCAAUGGCUUUUGCCAGGAUCAUGGUGUUUGCUGUGAUCGAAAAAAUGAGGGGGUGAUGUUGAGAGCCGGAAGGCAAGGGGGUGCAAACACCAGUCGGCCUUUGUCCCGAUUGCUGAGUGUUAUGUGCUUGACGUCCAAGGCUUGAUGCUGACCCUCCAAGUGGGGCUUUUUUGUUCCUGCGGUAACGACUUUGUUGGGAUCAUUGUGAUCAAGUUUGGUUGGUUUCGUAUUGUGGUGGGUUUUUUCGAAGCUUCUGUCGUUCUUUUACGCAUCGUGCGGUGCAUCUUGGGGGCUGUUUUGGCUUUUGGUUGCUUGCUUGGGCUUUAUGCUAGGCGGGUGGCUAAU
rnacentral:misc_RNA from 1 species